rnacentral:rRNA from 1 species
UACGUAGGGUCCGAGCGUUGUCCGGAAUUACUGGGCGUAAAGCGCACGUAGGCGGCUUUGUAAGUUAGAGGUGAAAGCCCGGAGCUCAACUCCGGAAUUGCCUUUAAGACUGCAUCGCUCGAAUCCAGGAGAGGUGAGUGGAAUUCCGAGUGUAGAGGUGAAAUUCGUAGAUAUUCGGAAGAACACCAGUGGCGAAGGCGGCUCACUGGACUGGUAUUGACGCUGAGGUGCGAAAGCGUGGGGAGCAAACAGG